rnacentral:sRNA from 12 species
UACCUCCGGCCAAGUGGGGCCGGGGAAGGACCAAUCGGGGUCGAUAUG